rnacentral:rRNA from 1 species
CGUAGGUGGCAAGCGUUGUCCGGAAUUAUUGGGCGUAAAGCGCGCGCAGGCGGUCUUUUAAGUCUGAUGUGAAAGCCCCCGGCUCAACCGGGGAGGGUCAUUGGAAACUGGAGGACUUGAGUGCAGAAGAGAAGAGCGGAAUUCCACGUGUAGCGGUGAAAUGCGUAGAGAUGUGGAGGAACACCAGUGGCGAAGGCGGCUCUUUGGUCUGUAACUGACGCUGAGGCGCGAAAGCGUGGGGAGCAAACAGGAUUAGAUACCCUGGUAGUCCACGCCGUAAACGAUGAGUGCUAAGUGUUAGAGGGUUUCCGCCCUUUAGUGCUGCAGCAAACGCAUUAAGCACUCCGCCUGGGGAGUACGGCCGCAAGGCUG